UGAAGACACUGUCCUUAACUUCCUGAGUAAGGGGGCAAGAGAUACUCUCACCAACGCUAGUUUGAAGGAUAACAAGAAUCACACCGUGACCUCUUCCCUAACAAAAUUCAGGGAAGAAGCAGAGACGCAUGAAAAGUAACAUUGAAAAGGCGAACACAUGGUAAGCUACGGAAGACAGGGGGGUAAAGAAGGCGGGAAAGGGGCUGGAAGGUGGAGUGAGAUGUAGAUGUCAGCCCUAUUCACUGGGGGAAUAAAGGAAGGAAAGGGAGACCCUGAACCCUGACAAGUGAGCCCGGAGACAGCAACGCUCCAGUCCACCCGCACUUCUACAGCAGAGGACAGAGAAUUCACCCAACCCUCCAACCCCCUUCCCCGUGUGUCCCCCCGCCCCUCCCUCCGGCCCAAAAGGGAGAGCUGGGUUUGAAGGAAGCUCUGACCCUAGACAGGGGACAUGCAAGAGGAGGAAGGCAGCGAUGUCCAAUCUUCUACGUCUCUCAGGCAGUGAGGGACGAGGGCACCGUGUCUGGGGAGACGGCGAGCUUAGGUGAUCCAAGUGGUGAAAGAAGGUAUACAGGCAGGUGCAUAUUGUGCAUCGUAAGAGAGCUAAAUCAGACUGGAAGAUACUCAUGGAGAAAUAAGAGUUGUUCAUUUGGUGGUUAAGCUGCUACUCAGUCAUGCACCUCUGCAAAUCUUGGAAAGAAUCAAGGAUUCCUGAGGCAAGAAAGUUGGAUAAUGAUGAGCACCAGGCAAGACACAGCUGGCCACUGGAGAGAGAGCCCAGUGUAGGCAGAAGGCCAGAAUGUGCCAACACCAAUACUUUUGUAGCUGAAGCCUGCUGCCCCCAGCUGCACUGCCUGAACAAAUUGCAUCCGAGCAAGCCAAAGCUGCAGCCCAGGAGACUGCUGACAUGACUUCAGAAAGGCACAGCCCAAUCCUAUUGCCUAAUUUUCUUUGUUCCGAGGCCAAAACUUUGGCCUGUAAUAGUGUUUGGAUUUCUGGCCUUUUGGGUGACCACUUUAGUUCUUCCUUUCUUCACCUACCAAGAGAGAAACAUCUUUAACAAAUCAUCAGUAAAUUAAUCCAUGAAUUCCAAGCAGUUGAGAAGCUCAGGCUACUGCUGCUUCUUCCAUACCAUGCUUGAUAAAAAUGAAAAAUUCAAUCCGCCCAUAGUCCAUCACCUGGUUGUACUUAACACAGAGAUUGACUCUCUGAAUAUAGUACAAAGACCAAAAUGAUUGGAAAAUUAUGUAUGCUUUACCUCUCAGAAGAAUCAGAUGACCUCAAUAAAUAUUUUUUGAGACCAUUAGGCCCUGAGGAU
rnacentral:lncRNA from 1 species